UACAGAGGGUACAAGCGUUGCUCGGAAUUAUUGGGCGUAAAGGGCAGGUAGGUGGUCUCGUUUGUCGCGGGUGAAAUCCCUGAGCUUAACUCAGGAAGUGCCCUCGAAACGGCGAGACUAGAGUUCUGGAGAGGGUCGUGGAAUUCCCGGUGUAGCGGUGAAAUGCGUAGAGAUCGGGAGGAACACCAGAGGCGAAAGCGGCGACCUGGACAGAUACUGACACUCAACUGCGAAAGCGUGGGGAGCAAACAGG
rnacentral:rRNA from 1 species